rnacentral:lncRNA from 1 species
UGACUGACUGAAUUCUAAGGAUCAUGGCUUGAAUGAGAGUAUAUUAAAAACUAACGCUGUCUCUAGGCACACAUCUAAAUUAUCUGGUACAAGUACCCCCAGGAAUCGAUAGCAUAAAACUAAUAAGACAUGACACUUCUUUGAAUACAUAACUAGAGGCCAUGAUUCAUAAUACAAUCAUUUGGAGAUUUCAUGAAGCACUUGAUAUUUAUAAUAUUGUACAUGGAUAGGAAUGCAUUCAAUCAUAUGAUAAUUUCACAAUUAUAG